GCGAGCGGCGGAUGGGUGAGUAACACGUGCGGAACCUGCCCCUAAGUCUGGGAUACCAUUUGGAAACAGGUGCUAAUACCGGAUAAUAAAGCAGAUCGCAUGAUCAGCUUUUGAAAGGCGGCGUAAGCUGUCGCUAAGGGAUGGCCCCGCGGUGCAUUAGCUAGUUGGUAAGGUAACGGCUUACCAAGGCGACGAUGCAUAGCCGAGUUGAGAGACUGAUCGGCCACAUUGGGACUGAGACACGGCCCAAACUCCUACGGGAGGCAGCAGUAGGGAAUCUUCCACAAUGGACGCAAGUCUGAUGGAGCAACGCCGCGUGAGUGAAGAAGGUUUUCGGAUCGUAAAGCUCUGUUGUUGGUGAAGAAGGAUAGAGGUAGUAACUGGCCUUUAUUUGACGGUAAUCAACCAGAAAGUCACGGCUAACUACGUGCCAGCAGCCGCGGUAAUACGUAGGUGGCAAGCGUUGUCCGGAUUUAUUGGGCGUAAAGCGAGCGCAGGCGGAAAAAUAAGUCUAAUGUGAAAGCCCUCGGCUUAACCGAGGAACUGCAUCGGAAACUGUUUUUCUUGAGUGCAGAAGAGGAGAGUGGAACUCCAUGUGUAGCGGUGGAAUGCGUAGAUAUAUGGAAGAACACCAGUGGCGAAGGCGGCUCUCUGGUCUGCAACUGACGCUGAGGCUCGAAAGCAUGGGUAGCGAACAGGAUUAGAUACCCUGGUAGUCCAUGCCGUAAACGAUGAGUGCUAAGUGUUUGGGAGGUUUCCGCCUCUCAGUGCUGCAGCUAACGCAUUAAGCACUCCGCC
rnacentral:rRNA from 1 species